UCACUGGGGAAAGUAGACCUUG
rnacentral:miRNA from 1 species